rnacentral:lncRNA from 1 species
CUGGUCUUUACUUCUCUAACUAGCAAAUGCAAUGGUCCUGUAGCCAUGCAAUAGAAGUAGGGUGAAUGAGAGAGGAGAAUGGCAUUUGAAUUUUGCCUUCUCAAGAUCUGGAUUAGUUGCCACGAUCUCUCCAAUAUAGCAAAGAAUUUACAUCUAAAUUACAAUAUUGCUACAAUUUUAUACGUUUAGUUAGAAGGACUAGAUGAAGAGCUAUGUCUGUAUAAAUUGGAGUAUGAUAAAAAUUUGUGGGAGAAUAGAAUCAUCAACUUUCAUGGAGGGAAGUUGGUUGACACCCACUACUCACUGAUCCUGAGGCAGAAUAAGUGGCCAUGAUUGGUAUAAAAAAAACUUCUGACUUAAAGACCACAUCACAUUAUCACGACAACUCUGUUCUCACUGACACUUUUUUUUUUUUUUUUUUUUUUUUUUGAGACGCAAUCUCGCUCUGUCACUCAGGCUGGAGUGCAGUGGUGCGAUCUCGGCUCACUGCAACCUCCGUCUCCCAGGUUCAAGCGAUUCUCCUGCCUCAGCCUCCUCUCACUGACACUUAUUAAUUAAACUCCAGCUGCACCUGCUUUUGAAGGAGAGAAGAGCAAGACAAGCAGGGGGAGGAGACCCAAGAGUUCUGUGUGGCUUGUUCAUACUUCUCAGGAUUCUUACCUAAUGGGCUUAGUUUAGCAUGAAAACAGUAACAUUCAGUUUCAUCACUAUUGUCUUUUGAGAUACAUGCUUUUUUCCUCCUUGUACACAUUACAGAAAGAAUGGCCAGUCAUUAAAAUUUACACAGUUAUGAGUCUAUGGGUUUUUCUUCCGCUGAGUGACUGAAAGAUACAUUUAUCUUCCUUUUUGUUUUUGUUGUUUUGUGUUUCAGUUAAUAGGGGGGGAAAAGUACCUUAUCAUAACUAUGGUAACAAAGAUGGCUUUUUCUUUUUUAUUUUCUUGUAGUUUGGUAAUAUUGGGGUUAAAAAAAGAAAGCUAUAAAGAACAUUUUUAAAAAAUUGACAAGUAGAUGGAUUGUAGAAUAGAUAGUAUUCAUUGUGUCACUUAAAUAUUUUGAACUUGAAAACUGUGCUGUUGUUAAGAGUCAAGGGGUAAAACAGCAUGAUAA